AACGAACGCUGGCGGCAUGCCUAACACAUGCAAGUCGAACGGGUACCUUCGGGUGCUAGUGGCGCACGGGUGCGUAACGCGUGGGAAUCUGCCCUUGGGUUCGGAAUAACUCAGCGAAAGCUGUGCUAAUACCGGAUGAUGUCGAAAGACCAAAGAUUUAUCGCCCGAGGAUGAGCCCGCGUUGGAUUAGCUAGUUGGUGGGGUAAAGGCCUACCAAGGCGACGAUGCAUAGCUGGUCUGAGAGGAUGAUCAGCCACACUGGGACUGAGACACGGCCCAGACUCCUACGGGAGGCAGCAGUGGGGAAUAUUGGACAAUGGGCGAAAGCAUGAUCCAGCAAUGCAGCGUGAGUGAUGAAGGCCUUAGGGUUGUAAAGCUCUUUUACCCGGGAUGAUAAUGACAGUACCGGGAGAAUAAGCUCCGGCUAACUCCGUG
rnacentral:rRNA from 1 species